UGCCACAUUACUCUUGAGGUGAAAUGCUUACACUUUCAUUUAUAGACCAAAUAAUGUUUAAUAUUUAAUUUUAAAUUAUAAUAUUAAAUCUUAAUCUAACCUAUGGCAUUCAUCAUUUACUGCAAAGACUACUUGGGUAUCUAAUCCUGUUUGUGCUCUGUGCCUUCGUCCUUUAACGUCNGUUUUUACAUAGAGGGCUGCCUUCGCCUUUACCGAGUCCCUUUGGUAUCAUAGAAUUUCAUCUCUCCUCCUCAAGUACUGCCCUCUUACAUAAAACUCUAGUCAAGUACUAACAUUUUAGAAGCUAUAUUGACCGUCUAGGUACCCUUUAAACCUAAUUAAGAUGAAUAACACUAGUCUCUUACGUAUUACCGCGACUGCUGGCACGCAAUUAGUCAAGACACGAUAUAUAUACUGUCAUUAUCAAUAUAUAAACAAAGCUUUAUUCAAUUUUAAUACAACCCUAUAGAUCAUAUUCAAAGAUAUGAUCAAAAUAGGGCUUGCCACUUCUCCAAGUUGCCAGUUCAGCCGUUA
rnacentral:rRNA from 1 species